UUUGAAGGAAAAUUAUCCACAUGGAGAGACAUCGUGGAUGUAUACGAAACGGACUGCAAUAAUAUGGAAACAAGAAUGCUGCAUAAGUUAAAUGACCAGCAUGUGAUACCUGAAAAAAUUAAAAAGAUGAAGGUCAAGAACUGUGUAAAAGUAUUUAGUUACACACUGUCUUCGGCUCUAUCUUACACAGCCAACUUCUCUCACUAUGCGGACGGCAGACCUGUGAGUGAAACAUUAAGAAACACUGCUGAAACAGUUUUGUUCUUUGAUAAAUUGUUUGAUAGCAUCAACGGAUCAGCAACCUAUUCACAAAAGAAAGGAAAAGAGCUACGCUGUGCAGUGACAGAAAAAUCUAAGCACCAUGAAUUUUGGCCGGAGAGCAUCGAGAAACUGGAAAAAAUUAAAUAUGUAGAUUCCAAGGGAAAUCCGAAAUCCGUGCCUUCCUUAAAAAACUUUAUUGCCACGGUAAAAACAUUCAUGAAGCUGUGGCAGUUUUUUAAGAGCAAAAAUAUGACAAUAAUGCGCCCAAGGUUCUUCAAUUCAGAUCCAAUUGAAAACUUCUUUGGCCAAGUCAGGGCCUAUAAUUAUAGGAACAACGACCCCAACUGCCACAGUUUCAAGAACACCUUUAAAUCAUUAUUGAUUACUAGAAUGAUAAAGUUUCAUGGUGACGCUUAUAAUUGUGAGGAUGACUCGGCAGACCAAAUAAUUAAUUUAAAAUCAUUAUUUGAAGAUAGUGAAACUGCUAGGGUCGA